GUGUCACCAGCCGCGGUAAUACGGAGUGUGCGAGCUUUAAUCGUAAUUACUGGGCGUAAAGCGCAUGCAGGUGGUGGAUUAAGUCAGAUGUGAAAGCCCGGGGCUCAACCUCGGAACCGCAUUUGAAACUGGUUCACUAGAGUACUGUAGAGGGGGGUAGAAUUUCAGGUGUAGCGGUGAAAUGCGUAGAGAUCUGAAGGAAUACCGGUGGCGAAGGCGGCCCCCUGGACAGAUACUGACACUCAGAUGCGGAAGCGUGGGGAGCAAACAGGAUUAGAAACCCCUGUAGUCC
rnacentral:rRNA from 1 species